rnacentral:sRNA from 1 species
GGUGAGCGCAGGACGCGCGAAUAAGCUCCGAAGGAGGUUUGAGCCGAGCGUAGCGAGACCACGUUGCGCAGCAACGCCCGAAGGGGGCGCAUCUUUGAUGCGCAUAAUCCUCUCUCGCCGACCACCA